AACGAACGCUGGCGGCAUGCCUAACACAUGCAAGUCGAACGAGACCUUCGGGUCUAGUGGCGCACGGGUGCGUAACGCGUGGGAAUCUGCCCUUGGGUUCGGAAUAACAGUUAGAAAUGACUGCUAAUACCGGAUGAUGACUUCGGUCCAAAGAUUUAUCGCCCAAGGAUGAGCCCGCGUAGGAUUAGCUAGGUGGUGAGGUAAAGGCUCACCAAGGCGACGAUCCUUAGCUGGUCUGAGAGGAUGAUCAGCCACACUGGGACUGAGACACGGCCCAGACUCCUACGGGAGGCAGCAGUGGGGAAUAUUGGACAAUGGGCGCAAGCCUGAUCCAGCCAUGCCGCGUGAGUGAUGAAGGCCUUAGGGUUGUAAAGCUCUUUCGUCCGGGACGAUAAUGACGGUACCGGAAGAAGAAGCCCCGGCUAACUUCGUACCAGCCGCCGCCGUAACAC
rnacentral:rRNA from 1 species